rnacentral:rRNA from 1 species
UACGUAGGUGGCAAGCGUUAUCCGGAUUUAUUGGGCGUAAAGGGAACGCAGGCGGUCUUUUAAGUCUGAUGUGAAAGCCUUCGGCUUAACCGGAGUAGUGCAUUGGAAACUGGGAGACUUGAGUGCAGAAGAGGAGAGUGGAACUCCAUGUGUAGCGGUGAAAUGCGUAGAUAUAUGGAAGAACACCAGUGGCGAAGGCGGCUCUCUGGCCUGUAACUGACACUGAGGCUCGAAAGCGUGGGGAGCAAACAGG